CCAGGCGAAGCUGACUCGAUUCGACAAACAGUGAUAUUGUAUGAGAUACAAUAUAAAUGAUUUAGAUUAAAAAUUAUUUCGAGAUCUAAACUUAAAUCCAUGUACGUAAUGUACUUAAUUGAGAAUUAAGAUUUAAAAUUAUAAGAUCUAAAUUUAUGAAUUUAAGAUCUAAAUUUCAAUGCAUAAAAUAUGGACUUUGGAUAUGGAUUGAACAAAUUAGGUUUCGAGACUAAACUAUAACUAGGGUCAUUAAUUAGAUCAAGUUAGAAUUUCUUUUCGAUUUUGAGCAGUUGAUUGAACCUAAUCAAGAGUUGGUUAGGAUU
rnacentral:lncRNA from 1 species